rnacentral:rRNA from 1 species
GACGAACGCUGGCGGCGUGCUUAACACAUGCAAGUCGAACGGUAAGGCCCUUCGGGGUACACGAGUGGCGAACGGGUGAGUAGCACGUGGGUGAUCUGCCCUGCACUUCGGGAUAAGCCUGGGAAACUGGGUCUAAUACCGGAUAGGACCCUGGGAUGCAUGUCCUGGGGUGGAAAGCUUUUGCGGUGUGGGAUGGGCCCGCGGCCUAUCAGCUUGCUGGUGGGGUGAUGGCCUACCAAGGCGACGACGGGUAGCCGGCCUGAGAGGGUGACCGGCCACACUGGGACUGAGAUACGGCCCAGACUCCUACGGGAGGCAGCAGUGGGGAAUAUUGCACAAUGGGCGCAAGCCUGAUGCAGCGACGCCGCGUGAGGGAUGACGGCCUUCGGGUUGUAAACCUCUUUCAGCACCGACGAAGCGCAAGUGACGGUAGGUGCAGAAGAAGGACCGGCCAACUACGUGCCAGCCGCCGCAGUAA